rnacentral:rRNA from 1 species
UACGUAGGGGGCAAGCGUUGUCCGGAUUUAUUGGGCGUAAAGAGCGUGUAGGCGGCUUGGUAGGUCCGCUGUGAAAACUCGAGGCUCAACCCUCGAGAUGUCGGCGGAAACCACUUGGCUAGAGUCCGGAAGAGGAGAGUGGAAUUCCUGGUGUAGCGGUGAAAUGCGCAGAUAUCAGGAAGAACACCUAUGGCGAAGGCAGCUCUCUGGGACGGUACUGACGCUGAGACGCGAAAAGCGUGGGGAGCGAACAGG